GACGUAGGUGGCGAACGUUAUCCGGAAUUAUUGGGCGUAAAGGGUGCGUAGGCGGCAUGAUAAGUUAUUGGCGGCAAAUCGAGGCUCAACCUCGUGGAAACUGAUAAUACUGUCUUGCUUGAGUGCAGAAGAGGUUAACGGAACUCCAUAUGGAGCGGUAAAAUGUGUAGAUAUAUGGAAGAACAUCAAUAACGGCGAAGGCAGUUAACUAUUCUGGUUACUGGACGUUGAGGCACGGAAAGCGAUGGGGAGACCAAAAAGGUAGUUAGAAAACCCCAGU
rnacentral:rRNA from 1 species